CAAGUCUCCUCCACCACCAUACGUCUAUUCAUCACCACCUCCCCCUCACCACUACUAGACACGAUUUACUAUACCACCCCAUGGAUCUGAAGAAGAACGUGUGCAAAUAAAGGGGAUGGAUUGAUGGAAGGAAGAAGCACCAUAGGGUUUAUACAGUGAAGAGAGGAACGUGUUUUACGAAAGUUGUGUUUAUUUGGUUUCGCUUUCUUUUUUAUUUUGUAUUUUAAAUAUUCAAUGUUUUUAUGCACUGUUCUGAUCUGAUGAUCCACGUGGUCUUUGCCCAGUUAUUAUAUCAUAUAAUAAAUAAAUGCCCUGAUUUUUUUCA